rnacentral:rRNA from 1 species
AGGACUAACGCUGGCGGCGUGCCUAACACAUGCAAGUCGAACGAGAGUAGCAAUACUCUAGUGGCAGACGGGUGAGUAACACGUGGUCAACCUUCCCUAGCGUGGGGGAUAACUAGCCGAAAGGUUAGCUAAUACCGCAUGACAUCGUCGAGUGGCAUCAUUUGACGAUCAAAGGAGCAAUCCGCGCAAGGACGGGACCGCGUCCCAUUAGCUAGUUGGUGAGGUAACGGCCCACCAAGGCUUCGAUGGGUAGCUGGUUUGAGAGAGCGACCAGCCACACUGGGACUGAGACACGGCCCAGACUCCUACGGGAGGCAGCAGUGAGGAAUUUUCCGCAAUGGGCGAAAGCCUGACGGAGCGACGUCGCGUGUGGAAGAAGGCCUUCGGGUCGUAAACCAACUGUCGAAGGGAAGAUAUUGACGGUACCCUUGGAGGAAGCCCGGCGUAACUACGUGCCAGCAGCCGC